ACCUAGGUGGCUCAAUUGGUUAAGCAUCUGACUUUGGCUCAGGUCAUAAUCUCAGGGUUUGUGAGUUCCAGCCCCACAUUGGGUA
rnacentral:tRNA from 1 species